GGCAUAGUUAAUAAAAACUUAUUACACAAAACAACAGAAAGAGAAUAUGUCUACUACAUACCAAUUGCUGCUUGGUAUUACCAUGUAAUGUAUUUACUUCAAGGGAUAGCCCCGCUAGUCAUUAUCAGCCUCCUUUAUUCGUGGUCUUCACAAAAACAUCAGGACCUGUCAGAUAACGUCAUCAACACAGGAAAUUACUACGUUUGUGAGAAAAAAUGUCAUGUUGAAAUAAAUAGAAGCAUAUAUAGUUUACCUAGUAAUUGAUUUAUUCAAAUAGAAGCAAGUUAUUUCAACCACCACAUUUCUACCCCCAGUACUUGGAUCUGUACCCUCAUAUCAUGGAAUAAGAAUCACGAAGAAUCCGACCUCUAAAUUCACAUCGGUAUUGAACACCCUCACCCAAAUCUGAGCAACUUAGGUUGAAAGCAAACGAUUUAUGCCCUAAUGUAUCUUGCAGACUACUGGAAGAACUUUGUAUUUCUUUUGAGUUUAAAGUACAGAGUAAACAACACAAAGAUAAAAAAAAACAAUUGCUAUGAAAGCAUUUUCAAACUUUUUUGAAACUAAAACAGUCCUACAGGACUAUAUAGGACUGAAACCAUUCACCAAAUAAUUGAAACUUGAAAGAAUACUUUUUCUGAAAUAGAAACAUAAUUCAUUUACUACAGAUUCUAGGUAUUUCCUGCAAGUAACAAUGCUACACAAGCAACUAUAGGAAUUAAGAAAAGCAUAUUUUCUUACAAAUCUAAAAUACUUCGAGUAAAUCUCAUACAUGUGGUUAGUUUUCCUCGGUAAGGUCAGAUGUCAAGAUCUCAAGCUCCCUUCGACAUUAAUAUGGUCAAUUUUUAUCAACCUCUACGCGUCUCUUUUAAUCAUCAAUUCAGAGGAAAGUUUUAUCCUCUCUGUUAUUAUCCUCUUUUUAUCAUGUUCUUAUAUCAGUCAAUGAUUUUGUGACACAUAGAUACAAUUCUAAACCAAUAGGUAGAACAUUGAAAUUACAAAUAUUAGCCUUCAGGUACCUUCCCUCUCGAUCAACUUACCAAAAUAAAUAACAAAAAGGCUGUGGAUUCAAGUUGUUAAGAAAUUUUUAUGUUUACUAUGAAUAUGUAUCAAGCGAUUGACGAUAACAUGAUCCUUUCAUUCUCAAUUCGCCAUGAAUAAGGUAGAGAUAAAAGAUCCACCACCCAGCCUUCUACUUGAGUCAUAACCAUAUCAUUCGAAAUAUUUUGUAAAUGUCUCUAAUUCAUGCCUGUGAGGGCCUUUGCCCUUCUUCUCUUCAAUAAAAAGUGUUAUACUUUAUUGUCACUUUGAAAAACAUCAAAUUCACAAAUACAUGCCUACUGCUCACAUAAGCUUCUUGUGGUUUAGACCUCAAUGAGACAUUUUUAUCAAUAAAUUUCACAUAGAGAUCAUUAUUAUUUUAAAAAUAAACUAAUCAUAUGGAGAGCUUAUUUGGUUAUCGAGAAAACAAUUUAAAUCUUGAUAAUUAUAAGAGUAACUUGGUAACUUGUGUUGAAGGGAUAUAACAAGUAUUUCAUGAAAUUAGUUUGAGGUGCACACAAGUGGCCCAGACACUACAAUCAUAGAGAAACUAUAUCUUUAUUGAACGCAAUCUUGUGUGAUUGAUUAUGAUGUGUUUGAUCUUACUUCACAUAUGCUUAGGUAAUUGACCUCAAGAUCGCAAAAGAAAGUAAGAUGGUUUGGUCUUAAUAUUCUAGAAUAUAGAACAAACUUAUUUGACUUAAAACGAAAACCUGACAGACCCUGCUUCUUCCAAAAAAAAUCCCAUCAGCACUAUUAAAACAACAACAUACCAUGUAUAGUGGCACAAAGUGGGGUCUGGAGAGGGUAAGUGUACGCAAUGUUGUUUCCCACCUUCACUAAUCCAUAUGAAUAAAGAAUAUAAGUAGUAAGAAAAAAAUUAUAACAAUUGCCAAUGCAACAAGAUUUUCU
rnacentral:lncRNA from 1 species